GGGAAGGUGGCUCAGUGGUAGAGUGCUUGCUUGGCAUGCAUGAGGCCCUAGGUUUGAUUCCUCAGUACCA
rnacentral:tRNA from 1 species